rnacentral:rRNA from 1 species
UACGUAGGUGACCAGCGUUGUCCGGAUUUACUGGGCGUAAAGAGCGCGCAGGCGGUCGUUCAAGUCGAGUGUGAAAGCCCCCGGCUCAACUGGGGAGGGUCAUUCGAUACUGAUCGACUUGAAGGCAGGAGAGGGAAGCGGAAUUCCCGGUGUAGUGGUGAAAUGGCGUAGAGAUCAGCAGGAACACCCGUGGCGAAGGCGGCCCCCUGGGCCGAACCUGACGCUGAGGCGCGAAGGCUAGGGGAGCGAACGGG